GACGAACGCUGGCGGCGUGCUUAACACAUGCAAGUCGAACGAAGAGCGGUGGAAGCUUGCUUCUAUCAAUGUUGGUGGCGAACGGGGUGGGCACGCGGAAUCAACCUUCCCUUCAGAGGGGGACAACAGUUGGAAACGACUGCUAAUACCGCAUACGAUCUGACCUCGGCAUCGAGGAUAGAUGGAAGGUUGCCUCUACAUGUAAGCAAUCGCUGGAGGAGGGUAUUGGGGCUGGUUAGGUAGUUGGAUGGGAAGCGGCCGACCAGGGCGAUGAUCAGUAGCCGGCCGGAGAGGGUGAAUGGCCCACUUGGGACUGAGAAACGGCCCAGCCUGCUACGGGCGGCAGCAGUGGGGGAUCUUCCGCAAUGGAGGGAAGUCUGACGGAGGCACGGCCGGGGGGGGAUGAAGGGCGUCGGGUUGGUAAGCUCCGUUUAUCGGGAGGAAAGGCCUUUUUGCGAAUAGGGAGAAGGAUUGACGGUACCGGAAUAGAAAGCCACGGCUAACUACGUG
rnacentral:rRNA from 1 species